CAGCAGCCGCGGUAAUACGUAGGUCCCGAGCGUUGUCCGGAUUUAUUGGGCGUAAAGCGAGCGCAGGCGGUUAGAUAAGUCUGAAGUUAAAGGCUGUGGCUUAACCAUAGUACGCUUUGGAAACUGUUUAACUUGAGUGCAAGGGGGGAGAGUGGAAUUCCAUGUGUAGCGGUGAAAUGCGUAGAUAUAUGGAGGAACACCGGUGGCGAAAGCGGCUCUCUGGCUUGUAACUGACGCUGAGGCUCGAAAGCGUGGGGAGCAAACAGGAUUAGAUACCCCUGUAGUCCCUGUCUCUUAUACA
rnacentral:rRNA from 1 species